GCCCCCAUGGUGUAACGGUUAGCACGUCGCCCUUUCAAGGCGGAGGUGAGUGGGUUCGAUUCCCCCUGGGGGUACUA
rnacentral:tRNA from 1 species